rnacentral:rRNA from 1 species
UACAGAGGUCUCAAGCGUUGUUCGGAAUCACUGGGCGUAAAGGGUGCGUAGGCUGCACGGUAAGUCAGAGGUGAAAUCCCGGAGCUCAACUUCGGAAUUGCCUCCGAUACUGCCGUGCUUGAGGACUGGAGAGGAGAUUGGAAUUCACAGUGGAGCAGUGAAAUGCGUAGAUAUUGUGAGGAACACUAGUGGCGAAGGCGAAUCUCUGGACAGUUCCUGACGCUGAGGCACGAAGGCCAGGGGAGCAAAACGGG